rnacentral:rRNA from 1 species
UAGAGUUUGAUCCUGGCUCAGGACGAACGCUGGCGGCGUGCUUAACACAUGCAAGUCGAACGAUGAAGCCUAGCUUGCUAGGUGGAUUAGUGGCAAACGGGUGAGUAAUACGUGAGUAACCUACCUUUAACUCUGGGAUAAGCCUGGGAAACUGGGUCUAAUACCGGAUACGACCAAUCUCCGCAUGGGGUGUUGGUGGAAAGCGUUAUGUAGUGGUUAUAGAUGGGCUCACGGCCUAUCAGCUUGUUGGUGAGGUAACGGCUCACCAAGGCGACGACGGGUAGCCGGCCUGAGAGGGUGACCGGCCACACUGGGACUGAGACACGGCCCAGACUCCUACGGGAGGCAGCAGUGGGGAAUAUUGCACAAUGGGCGCAAGCCUGAUGCAGCGACGCCGCGUGAGGGAUGACGGCCUUCGGGUUGUAAACCUCUGUUAGCAGGGAAGAAGAGAAAUUGAUGGUACCUGCAGAGAAAGCGCCGGCUAACUACGUG